rnacentral:rRNA from 1 species
AGGGUUUGAUCCUGGCUCAGGUUGAACGCUGGCGGCAGGCCUAACACAUGCAAGUCGAACGGUAACAUUUCUAGCUUGCUAGAAGAUGACGAGUGGCGGACGGGUGAGUAAUGCUUGGGAACUUGCCUUUGCGAGGGGGAUAACAGUUGGAAACGACUGCUAAUACCGCAUAAUGUCUUCGGACCAAACGGGGCUUCGGCUCCGGCGCAAAGAGAGGCCCAAGUGAGAUUAGCUAGUUGGUAAGGUAACGGCUUACCAAGGCGACGAUCUCUAGCUGUUCUGAGAGGAAGAUCAGCCACACUGGGACUGAGACACGGCCCAGACUCCUACGGGAGGCAGCAGUGGGGAAUAUUGCACAAUGGGGGAAACCCUGAUGCAGCCAUGCCGCGUGUGUGAAGAAGGCCUUCGGGUUGUAAAGCACUUUUCAGUUGUGAGGAAAAGUUAGUAGUUAAUACCUGCUAGCCGUGACGUAACAACAGAAGAAGCACCGCA